rnacentral:lncRNA from 1 species
GCUAAUGAAAACAGAGUGAUGAGCAGAGCAGUGGCUAGAUCUUCAGUUCAAUUCUUCUGUUGUUUGUAUUAAUAGAUGACAUCUUCUGAAAAUUUCUUAAUAAUUAUAUUUGGCAUUUAAGAAACAAAAUACAAUUGUCUUUUCCUAUAUUUUUAAGUCUAUUUAAAUUUUUGACUUACAAGCUAACUUAUCUUUAUUUCUCUAAUCCUAGGCAUCCACUAAAAACAGUCUCUAUUAGUGUAUAUUUUGCAAGUAAUCAAAAUCACAGUAACUGAGGAAAAUUAGGACAAGCCUAAUAGUAGCCAAGCUCUAAAUAGGCUUUAAAAUAAAAAUAGGAUAUGUGACUCAGAAUACAGUACUAGUUCUUCAUCUUACAGAUGUUCUCAGCCAUCGGAGUCAGCGUGGGCUAUGACACUGGGCAUUCAUUGGAAUCAGCUUCGAUGGAGGAAUAACUGAACCACUGUGUAUACAGACAGAUCAUAAAGCGGUGAACUGGGCUAUUGAAAUACUGAAGCUUUCCCAAAAAACUUUUGCCAUAUUUAUUUAUAUAAUGCAAAGUAAAAUAGUAAUAUCUUUCUUUCAAAAAAUACAUGUCAAUGUGCUUUAAUUUAUUCUCAUAAUUCUCCAUAUGAAAUUUGCAGAUAUGUGAAGAUUAACUCAGCAUAUAUUUCAAAAGGUAAAAUCUUCAGUAGUUUUAAUCUAGGCUUAUGUUACAUAUAGAAAAUAGUAGGAAGAGGUAUAGU